rnacentral:lncRNA from 1 species
GUUCUAAGAAUCAGAGGAGCUCAAUUCUCAGAAUUUGAGCUUGUGGCGAUACCACUUUCCGAGGGAAGGGGAGAGUCAGGUUUUAAUGCUGCCUGAGAAAUCAUCUUUCUGAGAUUUUGAUUUCCGUGCGUAUUAUACAACAUGACUUAUGGAACAAGUGUAUUACAAAAGCAAGCUAAAAUGAUUGUACAUUUUAUACUAUUUUUCUAUAUUUUAAAAGAAAUGGAGUAUUUUAUUUUUAUACCCCCUACUUUUGGAUUCUCCCAGACCUAGACGGUCACAUGGGCAGAAGAGUUGCCUACGUAAAACCCCUGCCUCUUAGUCCAGCCCCUAAAUUCACAGAACUAAUUUGCUAUUCCGUGACAUAAGCGAAGUUGUCCAUUCGUCGCCUUUCCCUUUAUGAAACCCACAGACAUUACCUACACAGAACCGAACUGGACUGCUUAUUCACACGGACACGCGUUGUACAGGCCUAUUUGUUGUGAUAGUAUUUACAUUUUUUUUUGCUUCUCCCUGCAGAGAAUAUUCAUUUUUAACCCCCACCCCCCAUCCCAUCCCUGUUUCCACCUUCAUUGCUCUGGACUGCUGGCAAAUCAUCACAAGGUGUGUGGAGUGGACAACACAACAUCCUCUAAAGCAAACGGAGAGAGUUGCUGUACCAGCAGGCGACUGAAAUUAAAUUAAUUAAAUGAAUGUGUUGUGUGUUUUUUGGGGGAUGGGAGUGGAGCAUGUAUUGGCAGCAGCAUUCAUUGGUUGUUUGGUAUGCAGCCCUGCAGCACAGUUAUCAUACUCUAUUAUUUCAGUGACUCAAAUGGUACCCUAUUCACUAUAUAGUGCACCUGGGCCCAUUUGGCUAAUAAUUGGAUAGUCAAGAAAGAAAUUGGUCUGAUUUUUGGUCACAGUCCAUCCAAGACUGUGAUGACACUCUAUUUCCCACAUUAUAUAAUAUAUUUAUUACUGUAUAUCCUCUAUUUAUUACUGUAUAUCCUCUAUUUAUUACUGUAUAUCCUCUAUUUAUUACUGUAUAUCCUCUAUUUAUUACUGUUA